UUGAAAAUGGCGAAACGAAACUUGUGAAUCGUGCAUUUGCUCUUCUUGGUAGCUGCCAGAAAAUCGAAUCAAGCUUAUGGGACACUGGAUUACAGGUUGCUGCCACUACUCCAUGUGCCCGCAAUUGUCUUGCGUGUAUGAUUACACUAACGGCGUCGCCCACCACGGCGGAAGUGUUUUGCGUACACGCGUUUCAGCAUGAAGCCUGCAGGUGGACGUAAAUUGUAGAAGGCAGCUAGUGGGGGAGAAGAUCAUGGUCAUAGGUCAUGUGACUCCUGGAGCUCCCAGUGGGCUCCCUUGUGGAGUACUUUUCAGAACACACACACAUACAGUUUGCUCACAGAACCAACGAGUAGGAUGUUGCUUGAAUACUGAGAGAAAAUGGCGUAACACAUACAAAUAUCGUGUGACACAUAUGACAAUAAAAACAUUUUUCACGAGGGAUGCAUGAAACACUGUCGCAAUAUUGUGUGCAUGAACCAUUGUGUGUGACACAAGCCGUGGGGGCACACCGCCUCGGACACAUUUUGGGAAGCAUAAAACACAGUAUAUACAGAGCUAGUAUGGUGGAUGCUUCUUUUUUCUUUUUGGCCGUUAUGAGACAUCUUCGGCCGUAAUGAGACUACCUUCGGCCGUAUUGAGACUUUGGCCGUAACGAGACACUUGGGGAUUAAAGGAUUUUCGGCCGUAAUGAGACUUUCGGCCGUAAUGAGACUUCGGCCGUAAUGAGACUCGGGCCGU